GAUGAACGCUGGCGGCGUGCCUAAUACAUGCAAGUCGAGCGAACAGACGAGGAGCUUGCUCCUCUGACGUUAGCGGCGGACGGGUGAGUAACACGUGGAUAACCUACCUAUAAGACUGGGAUAACUUCGGGAAACCGGAGCUAAUACCGGAUAAUAUUUUGAACCGCAUGGUUCAAUAGUGAAAGACGGUUUUGCUGUCACUUAUAGAUGGAUCCGCGCUGCAUUAGCUAGUUGGUAAGGUAACGGCUUACCAAGGCAACGAUGCAUAGCCGACCUGAGAGGGUGAUCGGCCACACUGGAACUGAGACACGGUCCAGACUCCUACGGGAGGCAGCAGUAGGGAAUCUUCCGCAAUGGGCGAAAGCCUGACGGAGCAACGCCGCGUGAGUGAUGAAGGUCUGCGGAUCGUAAAACUCUGUUAUUAGGGAAGAACAAAUGUGUAAGUAACUAUGCACGUCUUGACGGUACCUAAUCAGAAAGCCACGGCUAACUACGUG
rnacentral:rRNA from 1 species